rnacentral:tRNA from 1 species
GUGAGGAUCGAACUCACGCUCUUGCGAUUAACAGUCGCACGCCUUAACCAGCUUGGCCA